rnacentral:rRNA from 1 species
UUACUAUGAAGAGUUUGAUCCUGGCUCAGGAUGAACGCUAGCGGCAGGCCUAACACAUGCAAGUCGAGGGGCAGCGAGGGUAGCAAUACCUGUCGGCGACCGGCGCACGGGUGAGUAACGCGUAUGCAACCUGCCCCCGUCUGGGGAAUAGCCCGUCGAAAGGCGGAUUAACGCCCCAUAGUUCUCCCCUCCGGCAUCGGAAGGGAGGUAAAGGUUACGGACGGGGAUGGGCAUGCGUGCCAUUAGCUUGUUGGCGGGGUAACGGCCCACCAAGGCUACGAUGGCUAGGGGAGCUGAGAGG